rnacentral:lncRNA from 1 species
UCUGGUUCCCACUGCUCCCCGCUACAGACAGCCCAUAGCUGGUUGCAUCUUGUCAGAGGCAAACACCCAGAGAUGGAGAUGUGUCUCUCUCAGUCCUAAGCCCAAGUCUCCAGAGAAGAGAAUCUGGAGGGCCCUCCAGGGUCCAUCCCAAUCCAAAUCAUCUAUAGUCAAGAACAAGGAGCCAGUGGUGCAGACACAGAUGCAGUUCCAUCUCUUGGGCCCCACCAAGGAGAGAAGCAGUUCUCAGAGGCUACAGUGGAGGAUGGAGACAGGCUGGGUCCACACCCCCAUGCCCCACAGGUACCUACGGCGACUCCCCAGAAAUAAGCAUUUCCCCAGUCCUGA